CAAGAAUAAAAGUUAUGUCUUCUUUCUUUGUGUAUACAUUUGGGCGGUGAAACUCUGCCCCCAGAGGCUGACGUAGAUUUGUGGGGGCGUGUACGCAUUAGUUCCCGGGCACCAACACAGGAUCCACACUUAAUUUUAAGUGGUCAGUUUUUGUGUAUUUUCAGUAUAAGUACAGUUAGUUCCUGGGUAUCAACACAGGUUCCACACUUUAUUUUAGGUGGUCGGUUUUUGUGUAUUUUCAGUGUAAGUAUGCAUUAGUUCCCAGGUAUCAACACAGGUUCCACACUUUAUUUUAAGUGGUCAGUUUUUGUGUAUUUUCAGUGUAAGUACGCAUUAGUUCCCGG
ensembl:lncRNA